rnacentral:rRNA from 1 species
AAGGACUUAUGACCAGACCUUUGCCUUGCGGAUCAUCCGGUGUUCUCACCGGUGCACUUCGCUUGGUUGAGGCCAGCAUCGAUUCUUGUAGGGGGUCAAAGACUUUAGGAAUGUGACUCUUCGGAGUGUUAUAGCCUAUUGUGUAAUACCUUUAUGGGGAUCGAGGUCCGCGCUUUUGCUAGGAUGCUGGCAUAAUGGUCAU